rnacentral:sRNA from 12 species
UAAAGUUACAGGUAGGUAGUACGCUGUAUACUUGUGUAACUGAAUUAACGUUUAAGCGAAGUGGAUUCUUCGUCAGUCACAAGGGGGUCGCUUUUAUAAGGCGACCUUAUUUUUUUGG